rnacentral:rRNA from 1 species
GACGAACGCUGGCGGCGUGCUUAACACAUGCAAGUCGAACGGUGAUGGGUGGAGCUUGCUCUGCUUUGAUCAGUGGCGAACGGGUGAGUAACACGUGAGUAACCUGCCCCAGACUCUGGAAUAACCCCGGGAAACCGGUGCUAAUACCGGAUAUGACACAGAAUCGCAUGGUUUCUGUGUGGAAAGUUUUUCGGUUUGGGAUGGACUCGCGGCCUAUCAGCUUGUUGGUGAGGUAAUGGCUCACCAAGGCGACGACGGGUAGCCGGCCUGAGAGCGCGACCGGCCACACUGGGACUGAGACACGGACCAGACUCCUACGGGAGGCAGCAGUGGGGAAUAUUGCACAAUGGGCGCAAGCCUGAUGCAGCGACGCCGCGUGAGGGAUGAAGGCCUUCGGGUUGUAAACCUCUUUCAGCUCUGAAGAAGCGAAAGUGACGGUAGGAGCAGAAGAAGCACCGGCUAACUACGUGCCAGCCGCCGCGGUAACAC